UGUUGUACCAACAGUCAGCCCUCGAUCCCCU
rnacentral:piRNA from 1 species